rnacentral:rRNA from 1 species
CAGCAGCCGCGGUAAUACGGAGGGUCCGAGCGUUAAUCGGAAUUACUGGGCGUAAAGCGUGCGCAGGCGGUUUGUUAAGCCAGAUGUGAAAUCCCCGGGCUCAACCUGGGAAUUGCAUUUGGAACUGGCGAACUAGAGUCUUGUAGAGGGGGGUAGAAUUCCAGGUGUAGCGGUGAAAUGCGUAGAGAUCUGGAGGAAUACCGGUGGCGAAGGCGGCCCCCUGGACAAAGACUGACGCUCAUGCACGAAAGCGUGGGGAGCAAACAGGAUUAGAUACCCUGGUAGUCCACGCCGUAAACGAUGUCUACUCGGAGUUUGGUGCCUUGAGCACUGGGCUCUCAAGCUAACGCAUUAAGUAGACCGCCUGGGGAGUACGGCCGCAAGGUUAAAACUCAAAGGAAUUGACGG